UCCAUGAUCCAGACUCAGCAGUUGUCGCACCAUGUCUGACAAACACUGUAUUCCUUGACAGAGCUUUGAUAACGUACCAUAUGCAGAAGGAGUUAUUCCUGAUAAGGCUAAGGCUUGUCUCUGUUGGCACCAGCUAAUGCAAUGGCAGGUCUUCUGCUUGGUGUUGGGCUCCUGCCUACUCCUAACCCACUUACUCAGACUGGCGCUGUUCCACCGGCUGCUUUGGGGGCUCCUACUCUUGUUCCUGCCCUUGCUGCGCUUGGGCUUCCUGGAGCAAACUUGAACUCAAUCUGUUGCCACAGAUAGUUGCUGAAGCUUAUGAGCACUGUUGGUCCCAAGUUGAAGCAUGUAGCUGCUGGUCUUGUUUCACCAAGUCUGAAAUCGGAUACCUCUAGUAAAGAAAUAGAGAAAGGGGCCCCACAUGGUGGCUCAGGCCAGUAAUCCCAGAGCUUUGGGAGGCUGAGGAGGGUGGAUCACUUGAGGUCAGGAGUUCGAGACCAACCUGACCAACAUGGUGAAACCUUGUCUCUACUAAAAAUUCAAAAUUAGCCGGGCAUGGUGGCGCAUGCCUGUAAUCCCAAAUACUUAGGAGGCUGAGGCAGGAGAAUCGCCUGAAUCCUGGAGGCGGAGGUUGCAGUGAGCCGAGAUUGUGCCAUUGCACUCCAGCCUGGGCAACGAGCACAAAACUCUUGGCUCAAAAAAAAAUAGAGGAAGCUAUGAAAAGAGUACAAGAAGCACACUGCCUAAUUUCGGCUGCUAUAGAACCAGAGAAAGAAAAAAGAAGGCAUUCAAGAUCACAUUCUAGGAGGAGGAGGACUCUCAUCUUCUAGACACAGUCAAGGAGCAGAUCAAGAGAGUGAUUACAUUGUCAGUCUAGGAGUCGUUGAUGAUUCAAAAGCCCAAGACAGAGAAGAUCUCAUUCCAGAGAGAGAGGCAGAAGGUCAAGGAGCACAUCAAAAACGAGAGACAGAAAGAAAGAAGACAAAAGAAACAUUCAAAAACACCCCCAGAAAGUUACAGCACGGCUAGACAUUAUAGAAGUACAAACAGAGAGACAACAACGAAGAAGCAGGAGUGGAACAAGAUCUCCUAAAAAGUCUCGGUGUCCUAAAAGAAAAUUGUCUCUCUCACCAUCCCCUGGGAAACAUAAAAAGAAGAAGAAAGAUAAAGAGAGAAAUAGGUAUGAAAGAGAACGAUCAACAAGCAAGAAGAAGAGUAAAGAUAGGGAAAAGGACCAGGAAAGAAAAUCAGAGAGUGAUACAGAUGUAAAAGUUACACGGGUUUAUGAUGAAGAGGAACAAGGGUAUGACAGUGAGAGAGAGGAAAAAAAGAGAAGAAAGCAAUAGAAGCAGAUUCCCCUAAAACAAAGAAACGUUCUGUGGAAAAGGGAACUGGUGAUUCACUAGGAGAACCCAUAGUGAAUGGGAAUGAUCAUCAUGAAGAAGACAUGGAUAUGAGUGACUGAAUAUUGCCUCUAUGGGAAUCCAGCUGUAUACAUGCAUCAGUGUCAUUGCUUUGUGUGAUUUCUGAAUGUUGUAUUUGUUCAUCUCAACCCUAGAUGUAUAUAGCUCUGAGUUAUUAAUGGUUAUAAAGCUCUUGUUAUUGAUAUUACCUAUUUACAUCAAAAAGCUUUUAGAAAAUGGUAUGAUGUAAGCAAUUCUUGUCAUGGUGAAAUCUGAUGGUGUAACCCGUUUUACUAUUGGCGCUGCUUCAUAACAAAAAUGAAAAGCUAUAUACAUCUACAGCCAGAAUGGAUUGUUUAUGUCAUAUAAUUUCCUUUACUAAGUUCACUUACAUUACUUACAGAGUUUUAUUCAUUGCCAUAAUAGAGCCAUGUAGGAAAUGCACUGACUGCAUGUUAUUGUGGCAAGAAUAUCCUAAAUGUCAUUAAAAUCCUCCAACAUGAUGGAUCUCCUUAUGGUCUUGUUUGUUGACAUGCCAAAUUAACAUAGUUCCAUCUGGAAAUGAGCAUUUGAAAUGAUAAUCCGGCUGGGCACAGUGGCUCACCCCUGUAAUUUUAGCACUUUGGGAGGCCGAAGGGGGGCAGAUCACCUGAGGUAAGGAGUUCCAGACCAGCCUGGCUAACAUGGCGAAACCUUGUCUCUACUAAAACACAAACGCACACACACACACGCACACACACACAAAAUAUACAAAGUAAACACACACACACAAAUCCUGGCCAGGCAUGGUGGUA
rnacentral:lncRNA from 10 species